UCGGGGGUAGAGCACUGUUUCGGCUAGGUGGUCAUCCCGACUUACCAACCCGAUGCAAACUACGAAUACCGAAGAAUGUUAUCACGGGAGACACACGGCGGGUGCUAACGUCCGUCGUGAAGAGGGAAACAACCCAGACCGCCAGCUAAGGUCCCAAAGUCAUGGUUAAGUGGGAAACGAUGUGGGAAGGCACAGACAGCCAGGAUGUUGGCUUAGAAGCAGCCAUCAUUUAAAGAAAGCGUAAUAGCUCACUGGUCGAGUCGGCCUGCGCGGAAGAUGUAACGGGGCUAAACCAUGCACCGAAGCUGCGGCAGCGACACUAUGUGU
rnacentral:rRNA from 1 species